GGACACCAAGAGAUGGCAGUAAUGGUAAAAGGAGAUACAGAGUGUUCAGCCUUGGUGAUUGAAUUAGAAGGCAAGGGAACUGAUGCCUAUAUAAAGUAUUAGCUGAGGAAUGGCCAUUAAUGAAGAAUUUAAGAAAGACAUGAUAGCAUACGUCUUAGCAAGUCAUAUCAUCUACUGGUCUACAUUAGCUUUUAACCACUUGC
rnacentral:lncRNA from 1 species